GUUAGUCCAGACGUUUCGCCACUCGAUCAGCUUUCGUUCCGUUGUCGAUGACGAACGUUAGACCACCACCAGUGGUCAAUUGCCUAGCUUUCGCAUCGGUUUACAAGUUUAAUUGCUCCAAUUGCCAACGCUGCUUUUAACCGGACCGACCAAUUUCGUUUGGAAUCUUGUUCGAGCAGUGCCAUCGGAAUCUGUUGCUAUGAGAUUAAUGACCGUCGUGCCAAUGGGAACGUCGUCAUCCAGCGUAAUCGGACGAGGAACUGACGUGAACACUGGUGGAAUGUCGUUAACGUCCUGAUGAAUAAUAAAGGCACGUAAUACCAUCUUUCUUGAAAAACAUUAUCCGAUUAUAUUUCGAAGUAGGCUUUAUAAUUGGCCUGCUUUUAAUUAAACUAAAACUCUGAUCGAUACUGCCAAGGAUCGAAAACAAUAGAUACAAAGUGUACUCGGCGAAGUUAGGCUGUCGAUACAAAUUUGCAACAUUAUUGUGUAUUUAAGAGCAAAUGUUUCGUAAGAGCAUACAUUCCUAUUAAAGGAACGAAAAAAAAAAAAAAAAGAAAUCAUAGGUGGCGGAGACGAACCCUAAUGAACUAACUCGGUUAUUUAAACCAACUUGUCCAUCGACAGGUUUAUAUAAACGGAAUCUUACUGCAAGAUGCAAUAGAGUCUAAGAAAAUUACAACGAUCGAUACCUGGACAUUGACCACGACUCUCGUAGUAGAACCAGGCGAAUCGCUGGUAUUUUCGACGGUGCCAAUUAUAAGGAUAUGCUGGUUCUCCCUCUCAUAGUCCAAGCCGCGAACGGUUUUUAUGGCUCCGGUCUUCGGGUCUAUGUCGAAUAGUUCGGUGUUCCCUUGUUUAAUCAUGUACGUGAUUUGCUUCUUUGUAUCCGGAUCAUCAGCCUGGAAUUGAUCGCGUUUGUUUUAGCUUCGAUGACUAUUCGUCUAGAAUUUGCAACGUUCUACUUUUCCAGUACAGUGAUACGACGAGAAUCGACCACGAAAAUUAUAAUUUAUUUACGUUAAAAUGGACCAAGUAGUUAAAAGGAAUAAGAAAAAUCGAGUCAAAGUGGUUUCACGCCAUCGAGACUCGGUGGACUUGGUAACCGCUAGCUUCGAUAUCGAAUCGUGUCACUUAAACUUAACUCACCGUUACUUGAAGCACCGUGAAAUCUGGUAUAUUCUCUUUAACUCGAGCCUCGUAGCUGCUUUGAUGGAAAACAGGAACUUCGUCCUCGACAUCUAUAACUUUCACUGUAACCGUAGCAGUAGCUAAGCGGUAAUCAGGAGCGCCGUCUCUCGCCGUUACCACAAAUUUGUAUUCCUAAGGAACGAAAUAAUUUUAAUUUCCUGGCGAUUCCUACUCCUAAACUCUAAAUAUACAUGUAUAUAUUUUUUUGUUUCACCAUUAUGUACGUAUGUAGCUCGCGAUCGUUGCGUCAACGAAAUAUUCAAACUUUUACUAUCACUAACGUUAUCAUUUUACAAACGUACAUCAUUUUGCUCAUAGUCCAAAACGAUUUUCGUCAACACAUCUCCAGUUUCAGGAUCGACGGUGAACGGUAUGUCGUCCGGCGCGAAAUACGUGAUUUCUGCGUUGAUGCCUUCAUCGGCAUCUUCAGCAUGCACCCGACCUAUUAAUUUCCUAGCUUCUCCUUCUUUCACAGUAAACUCGUAAGGCAAGUCGACGAAUUCUGGAUUCUUGUCGUUGAUGUCCGUUACUUUGAUGUUUACCGUUGCCGUGUUGAACAAACCGCCAGAAUCUUCAGCCUUUAUCAGCUAUCACGAAGAAAAAAGAUAUUAAUCGGACAAGGCUGUAUGGAACGGAGUGCGAAUGUUGUGAAAAUUGUUUGCUUAAAAGGUGGACGCACCAUCGACCAGAUCACCGGACAAACGAAAGUCAGACGACUAAAUUCGGCGACGAAGCUCGAUGUAGAGAUCGUCCAACAGAAUGGAUGUCGAGGAAAGCGUUGUAAUUACGAAGUUGCAAAAAAGAAAAAAAGAAAAGAAAGAAAGAAAAUAUCGUUUGACGUGUUAAGUCGUCUGUGUUAAGUGUAAUAAAACUAUCUUGUACUUGGUUGAUCGCUACGGCCCCAGUGUGUACGGGCUCGUAUACGUACUGAGUUGAAUGAAACCGGCGGCUAGUCGAUAGCGCGUAAAGGCACUAAACUUACCAGCUGAUAACGGGUCAGAUCCUCCCUGUCCAACUUCCUUAUAACAGUGAUCACGCCUGAUUUGUCACCGAUCGCAAAUUGACGCAGAUCGUUUCCCGAUACGAUCGAGUACGACACUGGAUCGUUCUCUGGGUCAACUGCCUAUUAAAUAGAGAUGAAACAGAGUUGAAAAAGAGUCGAAGAAAGUAAGUAACAAUGAUUAAUUAAUUAGUUUCGAACGAACAAAACGAAACUUUCGAACGAAGUUGAAAGUUUCUUGUUAAUCGCGUCCUAUUUGACAGCUUUGCCGAUAAAAUCGACGCCAGUUCCGGCCAAUACCGGUUACUCUUCUCUCGACAACGUUUACGAGUUAGCGUAAAACGAAGAUGACCGUUAAAAGUAAUUACGAACACUUACGGUAAUCGUCGCGACCGUGGAAUUAAUGGAAGCUCCCUCGCUGACUUGCACCUCGUAUACCGGUUGCUGGAAGACGGGACUCCUGGUAUUGGGUCCAGGAAUCACGUUUACCUCGACGAUCGUCUGUGAAUAUUUUCCACCCUUGUCAGUAGCUUGUACGGUAAUGCUGAAUUGUUCGCCCGCGUUCAGCUUUCUCACGGAUUCGAUUAGGCCGGUCUUCGGAUCGAUUUUAAACUUAUGUAGUCCGUUAUUCGACACGUGAUAGAUGCUGUACGUUAUUUCGGCAUUCUCCCCUUCGUCGUUAUCCGUUGCCUCCACCUACAUUAUUCAACAACGAUCGGUCGAAUUUUUCCAAGUCGUGGAUAUGAAAUUUUCAUUGUUUCUCGUUUUUCUUUUUCAACGCGAUACAAGUAGGAAAUACCAUUCAUAGUCGAAAAUAAAAUUCUUUUCUAUUAAUAUCAUGGAAUGGGCGAGCCUACCUUUGUCACUACUUUCUUUGUUUCUCCAGCCUGAACGGUGAUGGGAGCUAUCAUAGGAAGCAUAGGUGCGUUGUCGUUAACGUCGUUCAAUAUCACCACGAAGGAUAAUGGCGCGGAUGCAGCAACGCCCGUCUUUUCUCUGGCCACCACUUGAAACCGGAAACGACCAGGACUCGGAGGAUCACGAUCCAGAUUCUCUUCGUUCACGACGAGUAUACCGGAAGGAUCGAUCGCGAAGAAAUUGGCCCUAGAUUUCGGAUCAACGUGAAAGCUGUAUUCGAUUUCGACUUUGAUCGUGAAAUAAAUGUACUUACGGAUGCCGAAUAUUCUGGAUUAAUGCAGGCGCCAUCCAACAACAUACAACCUUGAUAGAUGAAGGAAGGAUCUUGAUCAUCGUCGUCUCUGAUAUUUACCGUCAAGGUUUCGUAUUCGAGAAGAUUUGCGUACUUGGCGGAAAGGAGGACAAUACGUUGGAGAAGACGUGCAGCCAGCUGUUCCACGCAAUAUUCAAAUGAGCCACACCUGUAGCAGCAGCAGCAGCAGCAGCAGCAGCAGCAGCAGCUGUUGCAGCGAUCCACGUUACUCUUGCGACUAGCAGAGAGAUCGAUCACGAGUUCAAGCGACUACGAACAUUCGCCAUGUUAUCGCCUACAGCUUCUACAUUUCACGUAUUCCUAAUAAUUUGUAAUAUACAGUGUUUUAUGCGUGACUUGAAAUUCGCGUAAGCGCCACAGCAAUUAUUUUUAGAUAAAGUAAUUUAUUAGUAAGCAGGCUUCGUAUUUUCCGCCGUACGCUUACACGCGCCAUAUGUCACGCCGAUGUCAAUGUCGAAGUUAAACGAUUCCGUUGAAUGUAAUCCAUAAGUAAACGACCAACUUAUAUGCUUAGCGGUCGGCUCACUCACCAUUGAAAAGCCGUUGACUUGUUGCCGUGCAAGUAACACGACCAGCAACACUUUCACCGGAUUAAAAGCUUCCAUCGUCGAUUUCGCGUGACGUUUACUUUUAUUCUGUAUGGUUCUAACCGCUUUCGAUCAAGUCCAUCGUUUCAAUUUUAAUUUUGAAAUUUUUAUGCAAGCCCGUACAAAGCCGCAUAUCGGUACGCGUCACAACGCGUUCUCUACAUAAUCAACACAAACGAGACGGGUGCCGCUCGACAGCCGUUGGAACAACGAAUAGCGAACGAAGCAAACGAAGAAGAAAGCGAUGGCUUUCUAAAACCGCUUCGGCAUUCGAACGGUUGAAAGACAGCGACGGUCUCGAGGUACGACAUCGUACGUUUGGAAUAAACUGGAAAAUGUAACGGCGCGUCGUGAAACGCAUCUCGGUACGGUUCGAUGAUUUUAUCGCCGAAACGCUGUCAUUUCGUUUUACGAGUAUCGGCGCGGACGAGUGCUACGCGCGAGUGCCGAAUCUUCGCAGAAACCUAUCAUCCGUAGAGUCGUGUUUCGCGCGCGCGCCAUCGUCCGCAGCGGCUUUGGGAUUCGCACGGUGUUUCCUGUUUCCCGGAAACGUUCUUUGCACGCUACAUGUUUCGCGCAAUCCGCGCGCGCACUAGUUGUUACACGGCUCGAUAACACCAUUGCCUCGAAUCGGGAUUAUCGUGUAAUUUUAUACGGCGUACAUCGACUUCGCGAACAGGCAUCGUACUUACUCUCGCGCGAGAUUGCCCUCGUUGUUUUAUCGAAGGUUUCAAACCCAGUCACGCCGCUAUCUAUCCAAUAUUGCUGGCCGUUCGACGCGGAAGGAACCAAUCCACGAUCGGUAAUCGCUGUUUCGCGAUCGCUGCUGCACCGCAUGGCGUAGAAAUCAACCGUUCGUCGUAACAUUCAAGCGCGACAAACCAAACUGCGAAUAUAAACGAUGCUGGUAUUUCGUACUUGGUCAUAUCCGAAUAACUGGUCUCGGAUAUCUAUCUAAAUUGCGUACGUCGACGUACGUGCAAUUUCUAUCCAUCUGCGACAGAGACCCAUCACGCGAACGGAAUCGAAACGGUUGAUCGUCGUAAUGGACAUAGCCGACCGUGGUUCCGCGAUUUCCAUAAACUUUUAAUCGUCGGUGAAAUCUGAACGCGUUCUGCAUCUUUGGUGCCCAAAAUGCGUAAAACUAACUUCGAUAAAGGCGCAUCUACGCCAAUGCGCCAUAUAUAUCGCUAUAUAGGAGACAAGCGGCUUCCCGUGACCACGUCGUAGAAAUCGUUCGUUUCACCAACACCCUCGCGUAUAUCCCUCUAAUAUUUAAUAUUCGCCGUUACUCUCCAUUCCACGAACGAUUCGUUGCUGAUGGCGCGUUUCGCGCGCAGCUCGAUCACUCGCGAUAAAUUCGAAACGAAACGCCGCCUCUUUUCCUAUUUUCAAACCUAGAGAUAUAGAUCCGGUGCUAUACUCCCGUUUUUCUCAUUCUACGAUAGAACGGUAUAUCGUUUACGAAUAUUCUAUUAUAUCGGGUAAAGAUUCGAAUCGUUAAGACGUGGCUGGGUAUAGAGCGAAGGAAAUACGCGUCGAAUAAUAUCGGUCGUCGUUGUCGCGACAACUUAUCGUCAGCGUACAGUUUUUCGAUUCACUCGAAAUACGUUCGCGGAAUAAAAAAUAUCGAGAAACGAGCGACUUACGACGCGACUUCGCUUUCGUCAACGCUUAUACAGAUAGAUCCGAGCGCGACUCGUAGGAGCGUGAUUCGAAUACGCAUCUACCGAGCGACAUAGUUUUCCACAGGUUGCACGCGAUCACGUUUCGCGUUCAACGAUCACGAGAACGAGACACACAGGAAUAAAUUUCACAUAUUACAGGACGAAUUUGCCACGUUUACGAUUUCCGGCAGUCAAACGAGAAUGAAAUUUCAAGCUUAGGUUACGGCGCGCCGCGAGUCGAACGGUGACUAAUACCGCCGGGCGUCUAUCCUACCUUGCCCGGUUGCAUCUGCAAACGUGCAUACACCAGUGCAUAUAAGUCCCGGCAUAUUCGCAACCUACCGAGUUCUCUACUCACGGAUACCCGCCUGUAACGCGAGUUUCUUUGUUUGCCUAGUCCACCAGCCGCGCAACUGCUGACAUUUACAAGACAGUCGUCGAUCGAUAUUCUUUACGCACUUUAUCCAUCUUGAUCGAUGCGGAUACCAUGGAACGUCGUUCGAGUACUCGCUACCGUGACCGGAUAAGACGAUCGAGGUCGCGCAUUUGUUAUUGCACCAAGCUAAAGAUAAGCCUGCCGGUUCAACGUAAGGUUCUAAAAACAAACGGUAUAAGUACUAUUCUUGCUAUUGUCCCGAAAAGUUCUUCGUCGGCGUCGAGUAUUUUGCUAGUGAGAUGCGCAUAUCUAAAUACCUUUGUUAUACGUAUACAAAGUAAUGGUCAUUUGCAAACAGCCGAUCCAAAAUCUGAACCAAAUAUAUUUAUAUUUUAUA